AAAAGCCCUGGUAAGCACAGACCUUUACGCAGCCUCUGUGUUCGAGAGUGUUCUGUGUGUGUGUGUGUAUGUGUGUGCGUGCGUGCGUGCGUGUGUGUGUGUGUGUGUGUGUGUGUAGAGGCUGGUCUGGAGUCUCUCAGCCUCACCUGCCAGACAACAUCUGCUCCCUCCUCAUCCUGUCUGCUAUAUUCUCCUGAAAUUUCCAUCUCCAUCUUGGCCAGCCCAGACAAUGCCUCCCAACCUCACCGGCUACUACCGCUUUGUCUCGCAGAAGAACAUGGAACAUUAUCUGCAAGCCCUAAACAUCGGCAUGGCCUUGCGGAAGAUAGCACUGCUGCUCAAGCCAGACAAGGAGAUUGACCAUCAGGGCAACCACGUGAUAGUCAAGACCCUCAGCACCUUCCGCAACUACAUUCUGGAAUUUGAUGUGGGAGUUGAGUUUGAAGAAGAUCUAAGGAUCGUGGAUGGACGAAAAUGCCAGACCAUAGUAACCUGGGAGGAGGAGCAGCUAGUAUGUGUGCAGAAAGGGGAGGUCCCCAACCGAGGCUGGAGACACUGGCUGGAGGGAGAGAAGCUGUAUCUGGAACUGACUGCAAGGGAUGCAGUGUGCGAGCAGGUCUUCAGGAAGGUCAAAUAGCCAGACUGCACCGGUCCCCAGGCUCCUCCUGGGGAGGAGGCCUUGUACCCCUGCAAGCCAGAUUGUUCCAGGUCCUACUUUGGUCUGUAUGGUCCUGCUACUUGAUGGGGACAAGUCAAGGAGCCCUUCAGAUCUAAGGUGAAGGAGAGGGUCAGAAGCCCCCAAAGGCACUCUGGCUUUAGGGUAAUGCAUCUGAAAUACAACCAUGCCUAGCAAAAAUAACAUCUUACUAACUGAUCUUCUGAUUUAUUGUACUAAAAUAAUAUGUCUAUUUCUGUGAUACCCAACCAACCUCCAAGGUGGCCCCCAAUGAUCCCCGCUUCUUAGCAUUCCCUUCCUUGUGCAUUCUCCUCCUACACUGUAUCAGGGAAGGGUCCUGUGAAGAGGGUCACAUGGAAGGAACUGAGGCCUCCUGCCCAUAGUCCUGUAAGGGAGCCAUCCUGGAAGCAGACCCUCCAGCCCCAGUCAAGCCUUCAGAUGAAUGCAGCCAUGGCCAACACCUUGAUUGAAGCCUUGUGAGAGACUUA